GGGGAAUUUUCCGCAAUGGGCGAAAGCCUGACGGAGCAAUACCGCGUGAGGGAGGAAGGCUCUUGGGUUGUAAACCUCUUUUCUCAGGGAAGAAGAAAUGACGGUACCUGAGGAAUAAGCAUCGGCUAACUCCGUGCCAGCAGCCGCGGUAAUACGGAGGAUGCAAGCGUUAUCCGGAAUGAUUGGGCGUAAAGGGUCCGCAGGUGGCAUUGAAAGUCUGCUGUUAAAGAGUCUAGCUCAACUAGAUAAGAGCAGUGGAAACUACAAAGCUAGAGUUUGGUCGGGGCAGAAGGAAUUCCUGGUGUAGCGGUGAAAUGCGUAGAUAUCAGGAAGAACACCAGUGGCGAAGGCGUUCUGCUAGGUCGAGACUGACACUGAGGGACGAAAGCUAGGGGAGCGAAUGGGAUUAGAUACCCCAGUAGUC
rnacentral:rRNA from 1 species